GCCAAUUUGGCUCAGUGGCUAGAGCAUUGGCCUGUGGACUCAAGGAUCGCAGGUUCAAUUUCAGUCAAGGGCA
rnacentral:tRNA from 1 species